rnacentral:rRNA from 1 species
AUAUACAUGACUCUGCGCAUAUCAAUAAGCGGAGGAAAAGAAACUAACAAGGAUUCCCUUAGUAACGGCGAGUGAAGCGGGAAGAGCUCAAAUUUGAAAUCUUCAAGGUUCUACCUUGACGAAUUGUAGUUUAUAGAAGUGUUUUCUGUUAGUAGAGUGGCAAAAGUUCUUUGGAAUAGGACAUCAUAGAGGGUGAGAAUCCCGUAUUUGGUCAUUCCUUCCUAGCGUUGUGAUACACUUUCAACGAGUCGGAUUGUUUGGGAAUGCAGUCCAAAAUGGGUGGUAAAUUUCAUCUAAAGCUAAAUAUUGGCGAGAGACCGAUAGCGAACAAGUACCGUGAGGGAAAGAUGAAAAGAACUUUGAAAAGAGAGUUAAACAGUACGUGAAAUUGUCAAAAGGGAAGCGUUUGACACCAGUGUUGUUUUUCUCGAAAAUCAAUUACGAAAUGGUUUGAUUUUUGAGUAGUUAUGACCUUCAAUCGCUUUCUCACUUUCUUUAUGUACUUUCUUAAUGCACUUUUCGUUUAACAAGUCAACAAUCAGUUUCUUUUGUUGUAAAAGGGUCAUGAGGAAGGUGGCUUUCUUUUCGGAGAAAGUGUUUAUAGCCUUGUGCCUCUGCAAUCGGAGAGAUUGAGGUCUGCAGCGUAGACUCCUUCGGGGUUAGAUACAUUUGUGCUAAGUUAUAGCUUUUUCAUAGACAACUUGUUGACUAUAUUUAGUCUUGUAGGCUUACUCGCUAUGCCUAUUUUACCUACGCUUAGGAUGUUGAUAGUCACAGCGUGUAC